rnacentral:lncRNA from 1 species
CCCUUAGGGCCUGACACUGCCUAGUUUGGAGACAAGACCACGGAGCAGCCUUGCCAAGGUGGCAGUGCCAAGGGAAGCUUGGUGGGCCAGGGGACAAGUAGGCAGACAGUAAGCUGAGCUCGCCAGCAUGUGUCUGUGAAAACAGGGUCCUGUUAUGAACCCCUUGUUCUAUUAGCUCCAACUCUUGAGCUCCCAAGUGCCUCAUUUAGCCCCACACGAAGCUCACUGGAGGGGAGGAGCCAUGGGAGGCUCUCAGGAGAGGAGUGUGGACUGAAGAUGCGCGCUGAUGAGAACCAGAGAGCCCCGUCAGGCCUCUAAGGCCUGGUUCUGCUGUGCCAACCGGAGUCCCAGAGAGCCAUGUCACUGAGCAGGAAACAGGGCUUCUCCAGCCCCACACCCAGGUGAGAAUCUGGAAAAUGCUCUCACAGGGCAGAUCACUGCAACGCUUCAGUGGGCUUUGGCUAGCUGCAGAACCUUAGGCUUCCUGGAACCAAAUAAACAUGUGGCCCAGGAUAUCA